UACGGGGGGGGCAAGCGUUGUUCGGAAUUACUGGGCGUAAAGGGUGCGUAGGCGGGUUCUUAAGUCAGAGGUGAAAUCCUGGAGCUCAACUCCAGAACUGCCUUUGAUACUGAGAGUCUUGAGUUCGGGAGAGGUGAGUGGAACUGCGAGUGUAGAGGUGAAAUUCGUAGAUAUUCGCAAGAACACCAGUGGCGAAGGCGGCUCACUGGCCCGAUACUGACGCUGAGGCACGAAAGCGUGGGGAGCAAACAGG
rnacentral:rRNA from 1 species